UUCUUCUUCUUCUUCUUCUAUUUUAAAGAAUAAUCCUUUUGACCCUUUCUUUUCUUUAUUAUUGUAAGAGAAAACACUAUACUCUUCUUUCUCGUGUUGCUUGCAGGAUCUUUUAAUGGAAAUAUGCUGGUGAUACAAGGGAAAAGAUCCCACCUAAAUCAUCUCUUCUCUUCGGGUUCCAUGGACUUGGUUGCCUGGUGCUCUUUGCCUACUUCAAGAGUUAAAGGAUGCUCAAUGUGUAACAAACUUUACUUUGGUUUGACACUUUUUGACUGCCAAUUCAUUGGGAUGACAUAUAAUUUUCAUCUAUUACAUUUUGUCAAGAGCUAUGAGGUUCAGGUUGGGGAAGUAAAGCUUGUCCUAGAUAGAUAUUGGCCGUGUUGCUCUUCAGCAUCCAGAUGCCAAACCAUAUAUUCAUGAUUUACUUCUUUCCAUGGCACUAGCUGAGUGUGCAAUUGCAAAGAUUGGUUUUGAGAAGAACAAAGUGUCCCAAGGAUUUGAAGCUCUUGCUCGUGCUCAAUCUCUUCUGAGGAGCAAAAAGUUUUUUGAUGAACUGAUGUUAUUAUCUCAGGAAAGGAACUUUUGACUCGCCAAGGGAAACUAAGGAAUCCAAGGAAAAAGGGGACAAAAAGCUGGAAAUGCUGCUCAAAUGCUGGAGGCCGAAGUGUUAGCAAAUCUGGAAAUUGGGGACUGAUGUGGACAAGAGCCAGCUGGCCUUUCUUCACUUAUCUCAGCGCCUAUGUGGCACCCACUUAAAAAUUAGGUCAGCUAGCUGAGGUGGCGUGGACUAAUGGACCAAGAAAGGAAAAUGGGCUUUCUAAUUAGGGUGAGGAGAAGAAAAAAGUACCCUAAGGAGAGUACAGCCGGAAAUUAUAAAAGAAGAAGAGUAGAAAACAGAGUACAGUCCUUUAUUCAGCAAAACAAGAAAGAGGAAAAAGAGCUGAUGCAGAGAGAUAUACACAGAAAAAGGCAGUACCCAUAAGAGGAGACCCACGGCCAAGGAAGGAGGAGGACUCUAGAACCCGAUUCUACUUCUUCUCUUUCUUCUAUAUUUCCUUUUCUGUAGUGUAUACUCUUGAUUCUAUAAUUUGCAAACUGAAUAUUUGCUAUGGAUGAACAAUUUCUGUUUUGGGUUGUAAUUUUCAGUUUGAACAUGAGCUAAUCCUUUUGAGAUUUGAAUGGCUAUGGAACCCGAUGUUAUGAAUUAA